UACGGAGGGUGCAAGCGUUAUCCGGAUUCACUGGGUUUAAAGGGUGCGUAGGAGGGCAGGUAAGUCAGUGGUGAAAUCCUAGAGCUUAACUCUAGAACUGCCGUUGAUACUAUCUGUCUUGAAUAUUGUGGAGGUGAGCGGAAUAUGUCAUGUAGCGGUGAAAUGCUUAGAUAUGACAUAGAACACCAAUUGCGAAGGCAGCUCGCUACGCAUAUAUUGACUCUGAGGCACGAAAGCGUGGGGAUCAAACAGG
rnacentral:rRNA from 1 species